AGCCAUCUCAGGUUUGCAUCCAGAAAACCUAACAGCCCGAGCUUCUAACAAUCCAGUGGAAGCAGAGGCAUGAAGAGAAGUUGUUCCGUGAGCAUUUUGCAAAAUAACAGUGCAAGGCUGCUACUUGCAGGCCUUAGUCAAUUUCUUAGGCAGGGGGUAUUGCUUUUGUCCACAUAGUUGCCCAUUCCGGGGGCUCAGGUGACCAUCAAUCUGCAGAGCUGCCUCACUCACGCCGCACAGAGACUUUCCACACUGGUGUCUCCUAGAACAAGCUGCAUUUCUAAUAUGAUUCCCCUCCCCCCUUAAACUUGGUAUGAUUUUAAACUGUUCAAAGUCACAAUAAACAAAAACUGAAACAAGGCAAACAAACCUCCUGAGAGUGGCUGUCUCCCAGACUGGUGUUCAAUACUAUUUGUCAUUUUGCCAAUUUCUGCAAGGAAAAUCUGCUAUAUUUGUUAGCUGUAUACUGUGCCAGGAGUCAGAGGGAAGCUUCCCUCCUAAAGAUUCCCCUAGUGUUUUGGUUUACUGGAUAAGCAGGGUAGACAGAAUAAGGAAGCAGCAGCUGGCAAACGAGGUGGUGUAGCAUCUCUGUUUCCUGUUGGUUUUGGACGUCCACCUUUUAGCGCAUGCCAGGCUGCUCCUGGGUAUCUGUUUGUGCUGGUGGUAGCUGCUUGGCAGAGUCUUUUCUUACUGUUGUUACAGUGUGUUGUCAGUGACAGUACACUGGUAUCUUGAACCUGUCCACGAGGGAGUAUUUACACUAUGGAAGUAAGCAAAAUCUACAAGUACCCUGAAGUCAAGACUGCUUCUUCACGUCUAGCUGGUAACCCCCUUCCAGUGCCUGUGGCUGUUAGUGCUCCACGUCUCAAGCCCUGGAUGAUGAACAUUGGACAAAAGUUGGCUUCUAUAUCUUCACACAAUACUCCCUUUAAACCUUACAGGGACCCAGUGAGGAAGGCUACUUAAAUUCCCACUGAUUCUUGAGAAGAAGCCUCAAAGAGGGGGAAGUAGCUGGUCCUAUAACCAGGGAGCGGCCAUAACUCAACUGGAAACCAAACCUCUAAGUUCUUCAUUAAAUUUAUGAUGCUUCUCAGGCAUCAGAAGAAAGUUUUCUAUUUGUGCUACGUUUUAUCACCUCUAACAAGGAAGAGAGAGGACAACAGCAGAUCAGCAGAAUAUAGAGCAUCAAAUAGACACUGAAGAUGGCUGCAGUAAGACUUACGUAGGCACAAGGUCACCUCAUGGGAUGUUUACUCCCUUUCACAUCUGCAUUACGCUUCCCAGCUUCUCAGUCUGCUGAAAGGUGAUGAGGCAAGUGGAGAGUGGAGACUAAGAAACAGAAAACAGGCAAUCAGUGACUGUCCCGCGCUAUCGUCUUGCCAGCAAGAACGCAUGCGGACACCAGGAUCCUUCUGCAGCAAAGCGUUUAUUGCAUCUUGAAGAGGAGAGACGCCUCGGCCCCAGAGAGUAUUAGCUUUAUAUCACCUAAAGCAACGUGUUCCUUCCUGAUUGGCCACAUAGCCGUGAUCUCAUUGGCACGCCCCGGGGGGGGGGGCAAAGACUUGGCGCGAACACAAACUUGCGCAUGCGCACUGCGUCCUUCGGGGGUGGACAACAGCUGUGCCCUGUACUAACAGACAACAGCUGGUACGGGUGGCUACCAACAAGUGACCCAAAGAGAUGUGACAGGCAUGGGGACGAGACACAUCAGACUCUGGGAGGUAAGCAGUGCAUCAUGGGAAAAAUUUUAAGUUCUUGUUUCAUUCUGUUGGCGAAGAGCUUGCUCAUUUUGUAAUCCAGGCAGGCCUUGAACUCACAUGCUCAGUUUCCCAAGUUCUGAGAUUACAGACCUGAGCCACUGUGGGCGACUUUUGAGUUCCUGAUAUAGCAUUGGCUUUUACUUGCCAUGAGAUAUGAAGCCACCGGAGGAGGUCUUAGCGCAGGGGCAUGAGAGUUCCCAGAGUCAUUAGCCUGAGUUCAUAGAAAUGGAGUAACUUUCUGAAGGUGAUUGAGCCGGGACUCAAACCAGUCCUUAUCUGAUGUCUGUGUCCUGUUUGCUGCAAGCAUUUCUUUCCUAAUGUAUUAGGUACAAACUCUUACUUCUGUAUACUACUUAAGUCUCUGUUUUAGGUCCGCCCUCCUUUUUAUGGAGAGAGAGGUUGUGUCAGAUCUGUGUUGUUUUUUUCCCCCACUCAUUCCAAAAAUAAAUACUCAUCCCUG